rnacentral:misc_RNA from 1 species
GAAAUGCGAUAAGUAGUGUGAAUUGCAGAAUUCAGUGAAUCAUCGAAUCUUUGAACGCACAUUGCGCCCUUUGGUAUUCCUUAGGGCAUGCCUGUUCGAGCGUCAUCUAAACCUUCAAGCCCUGCUUGGUGUUGGGUGCCUGUCCCGCCUCCGCGCGCGGACUCACCUCAAAUCCAUUGGCGGCCCCCGCGUCGGCCACGAGCGCUGCAGAAACGCGAACUCGUGAGCCCGUCCGGGCGGCUCCCAGAAGCUACACCCACCCAGUUUGACCUCGGAUCAGGUAGGGAUACCCGCUGAACUUAAGC